rnacentral:tRNA from 1 species
GCGCCCGUAGCUCAGUAGGAUAGAGCGAUUGCCUCCUAAGCAAUAGGCCCCGCGUUCGAAUCGCGGCGGGCGCACCA